UCCCUGAUAGCUCAAGUGGUAAAGUAUCUGCCUGCAAUGCAGGAGACCCAGGUUCAACCCUGGGUCAGGAAA
rnacentral:tRNA from 1 species